UACGAAGGGGGCUAGCGUUGUUCGGAAUUACUGGGCGUAAAGCGCGCGUAGGCGGUUUUGCAAGCCAGAGGUGAAAUGCCUGAGCUCAACUCAGGAAUGGCCUUUGGGACUGCGAGGCUUUGAGGACUGGAGAGGUGAGUGGAAUUCCCAGUGUAGAGGUGAAAUUCGUAGAUAUUGGGAAGAACACCGGUGGCGAAGGCGGCUGCACUGGCCAGUUUCUGACGCUGUAGCGCGAAAGGCGUGGGGAUCAAACAGG
rnacentral:rRNA from 1 species